rnacentral:rRNA from 1 species
UACGUAGGGUGCAAGCGUUGUCCGGAAUUAUUGGGCGUAAAGAGCUCGUAGGCGGUCUGUCGCGUCGGCUGUGAAAACUCGGGGCUCAACUCCGAGCUUGCAGUCGAUACGGGCAGGCUAGAGUUCGGCAGGGGAGACUGGAAUUCCUGGUGUAGCGGUGAAAUGCGCAGAUAUCAGGAGGAACACCGAUGGCGAAGGCAGAUCUCUGGGCCGUAACUGACGCUGAGGAGCGAAAGCGUGGGGAGCAAACAGG